GCCCAGGUAGCUCAGCUGGUAGAGCAGGGGACUGAAAAUCCCCGUGUCGGUGGUUCGAUUCCGCCCCUGGGCA
rnacentral:tRNA from 1 species